AUUGCAACACCGCUUCUCGUACGAUCACCGAAGUUAAGCAGCGUCGAGCCUGAUCAGUAUUUAGGUGGGUGAAGCGCUGUAAG